UACGUAGGUGGCAAGCGUUGUCCGGAAUUACUGGGCGUAAAGCGCGCGUAGGCGGCUUUGUAAGUUAGAGGUGAAAGCCCGGGGCUCAACCCCGGAACUGCCUUUAAGACUGCAUCGCUUGAAUCCGGGAGAGGUGAGUGGAAUUCCGAGUGUAGAGGUGAAAUUCGUAGAUAUUCGGAAGAACACCAGUGGCGAAGGCGGCUCACUGGUCCGGUACUGACGCUGAGGUGCGAAAGCGUGGGGAGCAAACAGG
rnacentral:rRNA from 1 species